AUUAUUUCCUAAUUAUUAUUUUCUAGAAAAAUCUAAUUUUAUUUUCCUAAAGUAGAAAAUCUAUAUUUGAGCUUGACACGUGGCAAACAUAUAGAAAACCAUGUAUCAAGCAUACAUCAAGGGUUCUACUUUAGUAUAUAGUAAAUAGAGAAGCCAAUUAUAUCACUUCUUUUAAAAAAAGUAUAAUAAAAGAAAUUUAUAAUUGUGAUGAAAGUAUGGAACAGAUAAUUCUAGAAAAGAAUUAUUUUAUUGGUUGAAAAUGCCACAUCACCAAAAUAUUCGGUAUAUUCUAGAAUCUAUAUACAAACUAUAAUUUGAGAGUUCCUAAAAACAAACACGGCGCUCUCUCCGUUGCCCUUGCCAUGUGUCAUGCUCCCCUCUUCCCCCUCUCUCUCUCCUCUCUCUCUCUCUUCUCUUUUCUCUCCUCUUACAAAAUUUUCUCUCCCUCUCAAAGUGGCCCUUCCCCUUUCUCUUUUUAUUAUCUCUCUAGCUCUCUCCUCCCUCACUCUCUCUCUCAAGUAUCUCUUUCUUUCUCUCUCUUACCUCCUCUCUCUCUUUCUCUCUCUUCUAAAUUGGGAAAACUUCAAAUACCUCUCUUGUGGUUUCACUUUUUUUCACUUUAGUACACUGUGGUUUAAAGUGUAUCAAGUUAGUACCAUGUGGUUUCAUAUUUUAUCACUUUAGUACCCUGUGGUUUCGUACUUUAUCACUUUAGUAUCCUGUGGUUUAAAAAUCACAGGGUACUAACUUGAUACAAAACUAAAACCACAGGAUACUAACUUGAUAAAAAAAUAAAACCACAAAUUACUAACUUGAUACACUUUAAAGCACAUGGUACUAAAGUGAUAAAGUGGGAAACCACAAUGUACUAACUUGAUACACUUUAAACUACAUGGUACUAAAAUGAAAAAGUGCGAAAUCAUGGGGUUUUUUUGAAGUUUUUCCUAUUAUCUAUAAUCUACCUCCUCACUUUCUUCAAUUAUUAUCCAUACCCUACCUCCUCUCCCCCUCUCUCUCUCUCUCUCUCUCUCUCUCUCUUUCUCUCACACACAUAUUUUAUGAGGUCUCUUUUAUAUUCUCUCUCUCACACACAUAUUUUAUGAGGUCUCUUUUAUAUUCUCUUUCUCUCACACACUUAUUUUAUGAGGUCUCUUUCAUAUUUUAUAAGAGAUCUCUUGCUUGGAAAAUUAUGAAGGAAAAUAAAGUAUUUUCGUUUUUGGCUAAUUUUUAGAAGAAAAUGAAAACUGAAAACACAUAAAACUUUUUCUUUCAUUUUUUUUCAACCAACCAAAACAAAUGUUAAAUUUUUUUUUUCAACCAAACAAAUAUUGAUCAAAAACUUAUUUUUUUCUCUUACAAACCGAAUACUAAUAAAUGUAAAACUUUUUUGCCACCGAUUUUUU
rnacentral:lncRNA from 1 species